rnacentral:rRNA from 1 species
GACGAACGCUGGCGGCGUGCUUAACACAUGCAAGGCGAACGGAAAGGCCCUGCUUUUGUGGGCUGCUCGAGUGGCGAACGGGUGAGUAACACGUGAGUAACCUGCCCUUGACUUUGGGAUAACUUCAGGAAACUGGGGCUAAUACCGGAUAGGAGCUUCUUCUGCAUGGUGGGGGUUGGAAAGUUUCGGCGGUUGGGGAUGGACUCGCGGCUUAUCAGCUUGUUGGUGGGGUAGUGGCUUACCAAGGCUUUGACGGGUAGCCGGCCUGAGAGGGUGACCGGCCACAUUGGGACUGAGAUACGGCCCAGACUCCUACGGGAGGCAGCAGUGGGGAAUAUUGCACAAUGGGCGGAAGCCUGAUGCAGCAACGCCGCGUGCGGGAUGACGGCCUUCGGGUUGUAAACCGCUUUCGCCUGUGACGAAGCGUGAGUGACGGUAAUGGGUAAAGAAGCACCGGCUAACUACGUG